rnacentral:rRNA from 1 species
AUUGAACGCUGGCGGUAGGCCUAACACAUGCAAGUCGAACGAGUGGCGGACGGGUGAGUAAUGUCUGGGAAACUGCCUGAUGGAGGGGGAUAACUACUGGAAACGGUAGCUAAUACCGCAUACCAUCAGAUGUGCCCAGAGGGGAUUAGCUAGUAGGUGGGGUACAGGCUCACAUAGGCGACGAUCCCUAGCUGGUCUGAGAGGAUGACCGGCCACACUGGAACUGAGACACGGUCCAGACUCCUACGGGAGGCAGCAGUGGGGAAUAUUGCACAAUUGGCGCAAGCCUGAUGCAGCCAUGCCGCGUGUAUGAAGAAGGCCUUCGGGUUGUAAAGUACUUUCAGCGGGGAGGCGUUACCCGCAGAAGAAGCACCGGCUAACUCCGUGCCAGCAGCCGCGGUAAUAC